GACUCCAUGGCCCAAUUGAUAUGGUGCUGGUUUACGAAACCAAAGAUUCUGGGUUCAAUCCCCAGUGGAGUUG
rnacentral:tRNA from 1 species